ensembl:lncRNA
UCUGUCUCUCUCUCUGACAGCGUCCAGCUUUGGCGCUCUGCUCAGUUAGUUAGAGAUACACGCUGAGCCACUGGAGCGCAAGGAAAGAUAUGUUGGCUACAGCAGGCAGGGGCUUCCACCACUUCAGCAACGGUGCUUUUUUCAAUUUUUUGUUUCAGCAUGAAACAUUUAAAAGCCAGGACAUCAGAUAAAUAUGUUUUACAUUGCUGAGCAGUAUAAAAGUUUCAUAGAGAUGAGCCUUUAUCAAGGCUUGACAAGGGGUUAUUGGCACAAGAGGCUAGACUGAAAUCGCUUUUUUUUUUUUAAGCUUUGCGGAAUACAUUUUUAAAAAAAAGGUUGAAAUGGCCACAUAAAACCUGCCCAUCAACUGACUUCAUUCUUCAACCGGACAGCGUCCUUCCUCACAGACGAGAAGAAGAAGAAGACAAGGGGAAGCAGAGGUGAGACGUCAACAAAGCAGAGAAAGAAGACGAGCCGAGAGGAGGUGGGCAGCACAGUUUUCAGCUCUUACGAGACUGAGGAGGAGAAAGUGACGGCAGCUAGAACUUGGCCACUAGUGAGAUGAAAUUUGGGGAGGAGACGCUGGAGCGCUGCAGGGUACGACAUCCACACAGAGCCCUAAAAGUGGACCGCCUGGAAGACGAGCCCUCCCUCUCUGGAUCCUGUGCCCCUCCACAGCCGAAGGAUGAGAGGGGUCGACUUUCACCUUAGUUGCCGGGGAUGUCUGUGCACCACAGGAAGACGCCAGCCUCCAGCAUGUUAAAUGUUAUGCUACUCCUGAUGCUUUGCAAGAUUAGUCUGAGACGAAAACUGCAGUCUUUUCCCGGGGAAAAUGGUAAACACUCUCCACACUGAUGAGGAAAAGGGAAUCCAAGACAAGGAAAGUCUCUAUCUCCUGCUGUACUUCAUCAGCGGGCAGAUGAGAGAUCAUCUGUGUCAAUGCGAUGGCCAUAUUGCAUCCAUCCUGCAUCCCUUUAAACAACUUAGUCGAUGGGAAACGGACUCGUUCCUUUUGCCUUUACUGGUGAAAUAGUCCAACAUGCCGUGAGACAUUUAACUUGUACAUAAAUGCCCGACGAUACCGCUUUUCUCAACCACAUGGACAUCAAGGAUUGCAGAGGGUGGACGUGAAAAUAUGUAUCAGAUGUUUUAUUGACUGAAGUGUUGAAAGUACCUAAUAUGCUUCCAUGUGAUGGAAUAUAAGGAUGUAUAGAGAAGGUAGGUUUUUGCAAUGAUAUAUAUUCAUUUUCCUCAAAGAUUUUCACAGUAUAUGACAACAUACAUCGGUUUCUAUGAGGAUUAAGUAAAUUAAAGAAAAUAGAUAUUCAAAUUGUUAUUGAGGUUGAAUUUUGUUUUUGUACUGUAUUCCUCACUGUUUGGAGUAAAAAAAUGAUUUUGGAUGGUGUUUUAUUUCCUACAAUUGUCCUACAAAAGUUGUAUAUUGUGCAUUUACUAAAACAAACUUUGUCAAUGGCAUGAAGUCAGUUUUCAAAUGUUAGGAAUUCAGACAGAUCAGUACAAACUGUCUCAAUAAUUUAUAAUACUUAAGUUUAUGACGCAUCACUUGAGGGUCACCGACACUUUCUCACCGAGAGAAGAUUAAUUAAUUUGUGGGAAAAUAAUGUUAUUAUUUGUCGAAGUCGAGGCUGAAGAUCACCAUCGUUGUUCUUGGGGGUAAACAUCUUCAGACGUUUUCACAAAGAUCAUUUCCUCACGUAUGGGUCUAUCAGACGCUGGCAUGUUUCAGCUCGUACCAACUGAAUCAGGUUGGGUCAUGGGAGCGUCUCAAAUUAUAUUCACUUGCUGUUUUUCCUUCAUUCUUGAACAAGAAGCCUGCAAAAUGAUCUGCAUGUAAGUCUUUUUCUGUUUGCUCUCAUUUAUAGAUUAAUUUGACAAUAAUGCAUCAAAGGAAUCGUUCCACAUUUUGGGCAAUAAUCUGGUCUCCUGCCAACCUCUCAGUGAAGAGAAGACUCUUGGAAGUCUUUGUGGUCAGCCGAGAAGUAGUCUGGCGCAGAACUUUGUAAAACCAAAACCUGUUUUUAUUGUGUAAAAAAUAUACUCCCGUUUAUUCCUCAAUAAUUGACUACUGUUUGAGAUGUGACAACGUGAUUUCAUUUUCCCCAUUUCCAGUCAUUAUGCUAAGAUGCUCUUCUCCUAGCUGCGAAUUCGAAUUUAACGGACAAGUGUGAGAGCGAUAUCAAUCUUUUAUGUAACUCUCAUUGAGGAAGCGAAUAAGAGUAUUUCCCAAAAUGAAAAACUUUUACUGAAAAAAUGUAUCUAUAAGAGAAGAGAAAACGCCUUUAAAUAAUGAUGUACAGUAUUUAGCGGAUGUCAUGCUUUAGAAAAGAACAGUUACAUGUGUUUGCAAGACGACCACCUCAUGAUUUCAGAAAGUGCCUGAGAUCAAAGUGUCUCAACCUCAUCAGUUAAAAGGUCAAGAAAAUAAAAAUAGAAAAAACAGUGAGAGUAUCUUUAUAAAGCCACGAGUCCCACAGGAUAGUGGAAGAAGAAUGAUGGGACUGGAUUUCUGUUUCAUGGCUUAAUAAAGUCAAUUAGCUUGGGUGAACAAACUUAAGCACAUGGACAAGUCGUAUGAAUGUAUUAUCCCUUAUUCUUUACUCAUCUUUCUUAAAGCUAUGUACCUCUAUUUGUUAUGUUUUGUUCAUGUGUAUGCUAAAUCUAUUUAAACCUAUUGAUUUGUCACUUGUGGGUGACAAAUUGGGUAAACGUUUGUCAGGCUGCGGUUCGGUUAAAAAACAUUAAAUGAAUACAAGAUGAAACGGAUAUAUUUGGAUGUUCUGUCUUGGUUUGUAUCAUACCAUAUUAAUGGUAAUAUAUUGAAUUACGCCUUUGGUGCACAUAAGCUACAUUCAUUAAUGCUACGCAUAUACACAUUUUGAAAAAACUUUCAGCUUCAUGACUUCUGGAACAAAAUACUUUUACAGAAGUGAAACGCUUCUAG